UGUGUGGCUAUGUCUAUUUGAUGUAGACAUUGUUCAGGUUUGAACUGGUGAUCUUUUCUCUCCAAGACUAUUCCCUUGGGAAGGUAUUUCUAAUUACCAGAUAAAGUCCAUGUAAGUCAUUCAGUUUAACCAGACAAUAACUAAUUCCCUCUCUGAUAAUUCUGCUGAUCAGCUUCUUUUUGUUUUUCUUGAUGCGAGAAUGAAUCUUAGUUCAAGUGGGUUACAAGGACCAAUAGCCUUUUCCUUUAGAG